GGGAGGAUGCCCAAAUCUGGUUAAGGGGAGCGCCUGCAGAGCGUUUAUUUUUGGGUUCAAAUCCCAAUCCUCCCU
rnacentral:tRNA from 1 species